GAUGAACGCUGGCGGCGUGCUUAACACAUGCAAGUCGAACGGAAAGGCCCAAGCUUGCUUGGGUACUCGAGUGGCGAACGGGUGAGUAACACGUGGGUGAUCUGCCCUGCACUUCGGGAUAAGCCUGGGAAACUGGGUCUAAUACCGGAUAGGACGAUGGUUUGGAUGCCAUUGUGGAAAGUUUUUUCGGUGUGGGAUGAGCUCGCGGCCUAUCAGCUUGUUGGUGGGGUAAUGGCCUACCAAGGCGUCGACGGGUAGCCGGCCUGAGAGGGUGUACGGCCACAUUGGGACUGAGAUACGGCCCAGACUCCUAGGGGGGGCAGGAGGGGGGAAUUUUGCAAAAUGGGCGAAAGCCUGAGGCGGGGCCGCCGCGGGGGGGAUGACGGCCUUCGGGUUGUAAACUCCUUUCGGUGGGGACGAAGCGUUUUGGUGGCGGUACCGGGAGAAGAAGCACCGGCUAACUACGU
rnacentral:rRNA from 1 species